GAGCAGGCCCAGCUGGGGUAAAAGAAUUGAUCUACACGAAGGUGGUUUUCCCAGGGCGAGGCUUAUCCAUUGCACUCCGGAUGUGCUGACCCCUGCGAUUUCCCCAAAUGCGGGAAACUCGACUGCAUAAUUUGUGGUAGUGGGGGACUGCGUUCGCGCUCUCCCCUA